GACGUAGGGUGCAAGCGUUGUCCGGAUUUAUUGGGCGUAAAGAGCUCGUAGGCGGCUUGUUGCGUCGACUGUGAAAACCCGCGGCUUAACCGCGGGCUUGCAGUUGAUACGGGCAGGCUAGAGUUCGGUAGGGGAGACUGGAAUUCCUGGUGUAGCGGUGAAAUGCGCAGAUAUCAGGAGGAACACCGGUGGCGAAGGCGGGUCUCUGGGCCGAUACUGACGCUGAGGAGCGAAAGCAUGGGGAGCGAUCCGG
rnacentral:rRNA from 1 species